UGAAAGAUGGCCUCUGCUUGCACGCUAUCACUCGUGGAUCGGCCUGCGCACCAUUAGCUAGUUGGUGAGGUAACGGCUCACCAAGGCCGAGAUGGUUAGCUGGUCUGAGAGGAUGGCCAGCCACACUGGGACUGAGACACGGCCCAGACUCCUACGGGAGGCAGCAGUGGGGAAUAUUGCGCAAUGGGCGAAAGCCUGACGCAGCGACGCCGCGUGGGUGAUGAAGGCCUUCGGGUCGUAAAGCCCUGUCGGGAGGGAAGAAACGACCUCGACCUAACACGUCGAGGUAUAUUGACGGUACCUCCUAAGGAAGCACCGGCUAACUCCGUGCCAGCAGCCGCGGUAA
rnacentral:rRNA from 1 species